UGCAGCGCGGCGGCUUUGGUUGCGAUCGGACGCGGAGCCGGCGCCAUUUUGUCGGUGUUAGCUGCGGAAAGAGGCCAAGCGGGAGGUAGAGGCGCUUUCUAGGUAAUUGGGUGAAGCCAUACCACUCUACCCAGCUCCAGAUAUGCCAAGGUUUAAUAAGCCGUGUCAGGUGGCUAUGGUGAAGCACACUCGGCCCUCGGAGCACGGGGUGAAGCAGAAAGGCUGAGAUUGGAGAACAAAUUUCUACGUGCAGAAUUUCGGAGACAUCAGGUCUAUGUGAACUGCAUAGCCAAGUGAAGAACAUGUCAGUUGAAUAACAAACUAGUUCUUACUACUCAAAUGUUGCAGUUCCUGCAGGAUCUUGUUGCUUUCUUGGAGGAUAAUGAUGACACAGAGCAGGAGUGAAACCAAGGGUUCGUGAGACAGCGCCAUUGGACAAAUGGAGUGCCAGAUUGAACGAAUCUGAGCUCAAUCACCCCAAAGCUGAUGCACAAAUACGAGCCACUCAAAAAAAGGGACAAAUGGGAACAGUAUAUAAUUGGUUCACAUAGCUCCAAUGCAAGUUGACUAAGAACUGAUGGGGAUUUGGGUUUUUAUCGUUUUAAGCUGGUGUUGUGGAAAAAUCUUUUGGACAAUUUUUUAAUAAAAUUCAGAUAUUAUUUAA